rnacentral:rRNA from 1 species
CAGUCGCCGCAGUAAUACGUAGGGUGCGAGCGUUAAUCGGAAUUACUGGGCGUAAAGCGUGCGCAGGCGGUUGUGUAAGACAGGUGUGAAAUCCCCGGGCUUAACCUGGGAACUGCGCUUGUGACUGCACAGCUAGAGUAUGGCAGAGGGGGGUGGAAUUCCACGUGUAGCAGUGAAAUGCGUAGAGAUGUGGAGGAACACCGAUGGCGAAGGCAGCCCCCUGGGCCAAUACUGACGCUCAUGCACGAAAGCGUGGGGAGCAAACAGGAUUAGAUACCCGAGUAGUCCCUGUCUCUUAUAC